AUUGAACGCUGGCGGCAGGCCUAACACAUGCAAGUCGAGCGGAUGACGGGAGCUUGCUCCUUGAUUCAGCGGCGGACGGGUGAGUAAUGCCUAGGAAUCUGCCUGGUAGUGGGGGACAACGUUUCAAAAGGAACGCUAAUACCGCAUACGUCCUACGGGAGAAAGCAGGGGACCUUCGGGCCUUGCGCUAUCAGAUGAGCCUAGGUCGGAUUAGCUAGUAGGUGAGGUAAUGGCUCACCUAGGCGACGAUCCGUAACUGGUCUGAGAGGAUGAUCAGUCACGCUGGAACUGAGACACGGUCCAGAAUCCUACGGGAGGCAGCAGUGGGGAAUAUUGGACAAUGGGCGAAAGCCUGAUCCAGCCAUGCCGCGUGUGUGAAGAAGGUCUUCGGAUUGUAAAGCACUUUAAGUUGGGAGGAAGGGCAGUAAGUUAAUACCUUGCUGUUUUGACGUUACCGACAGAAUAAGCACCGGCUAACUCUGUGCCAGCCGCCGCAGUAAAAC
rnacentral:rRNA from 1 species